rnacentral:rRNA from 1 species
UACGGAGGAUCCAAGCGUUAUCCGGAUUUAUUGGGUUUAAAGGGUGCGUAGGCGGCUUUUAAGUCAGGGGUGAAAGACGGUGGCUCAACCAUCGCAGUGCCUUUGAUACUGAGAAGCUUGAUUAAACUUGAGGCAGGCGGAAUGUGACAAGUAGCGGUGAAAUGCAUAGAUAUGUCACAGAACACCGAUUGCGAAGGCAGCUUGGACGUUAAGUUUAAUGCGCUGAGGCACGAAAAGCGUGGGGAUCAAACAGG